UGUGAGCCUCCCAUUUUUUGACAAUGCUGC
rnacentral:piRNA from 1 species